UACGAAGGGGGCUAGCGUUGUUCGGAAUUACUGGGCGUAAAGCGCACGUAGGCGGAUACUUAAGUCAGGGGUGAAAUCCCGGGGCUCAACCCCGGAACUGCCUUUGAUACUGGGUAUCUCGAGUCCGUAAGAGGUGAGUGGAGUUCCGAGUGUAGAGGUGAAAUUCGUAGAUAGUUCGGAGGAACACCAGUGGCGAAGGCGGCUCACUGGUCCGGUACUGACGCUGAGGUGCGAAAGCGUGGGGAGCAAACAGG
rnacentral:rRNA from 1 species